rnacentral:rRNA from 1 species
CCUACGGGAGGCAGCAGUGGGGAAUAUUGGGCAAUGGACGCAAGCCUGACCCAGCAACGCCGCGUGAAGGAAGAAGGCUUUCUGGUUGUAAACUUCUUUUCUCAGGGACGUAGACAGUGACGGUCCCUUAUGACUAAGCCACUGCUACCUACGUGCCAGCAGCCGCGCUAAUACGGAGGUGGCAAGCGUUCUCAGGAUUGAUUGGGUGUAAAGGGCGUGUAGGCGGGAGCGCAAGUUAGAUGUGAAAACGCAGGGCGCAACCCUGAGCUUGCAUUUGAAACUGUGUUUCUUGAGUGCUGGAGAGGUAGGCGGAAUGCCGGGUGUAGCGGUGAAAUGCGUAGAUAU